GGGGCUGAUUCUGGAUUCGACGGGAUUUGCGAAACCCAAGGUGCAUGCCGAGGGGCGGUUGGCCUCGUAAAAAGCCGCAAAAAAAUAGUCGCAAACGACGAAAACUACGCUUUAGCAGCUUAAUAACCUGCUUAGAGCCCUCUCUCCCUAGCCUCCGCUCUUAGGACGGGGAUCAAGAGAGGUCAAACCCAAAAGAGAUCGCGUGGAUGCCCUGCCUGGGGUUGAAGCGUUAAAACGAAUCAGGCUAGUCUGGUAGUGGCGUGUCCGUCCGCAGAUGCCAGGCGAAUGUAAAGACUGACUAAGCAUGUAGUACCGAGGAUGUAGGAAUUUCGGACGCGGGUUCAACUCCCGCCAGCUCCACCA
rnacentral:tmRNA from 1 species